rfam:Methanobrevibacter sp. 87.7 contig1, whole genome shotgun sequence.
GCCUCGGUGGCUCAGUCGGUAGAGCGCCAGACUUGUAAUCUGGUGGUCGGGGGUUCAAUUCCCCCUCGGGGCU